rnacentral:rRNA from 1 species
CAUGCAAGUCGAGCGGUAAGGCCCUUCGGGGUACACGAGCGGCGAACGGGUGAGUAACACGUGGGUGAUCUGCCUUGCACUCUGGGAUAAGCCUGGGAAACUGGGUCUAAUACCGGAUAUGACCUUCGAUCGCAUGAUCGUGGGUGGAAAGAUUUAUCGGUGCAAGAUGAGCCCGCGGCCUAUCAGCUUGUUGGUGGGGUAAUGGCCUACCAAGGCGACGACGGGUAGCCGGCCUGAGAGGGCGACCGGCCACACUGGGACUGAGACACGGCCCAGACUCCUACGGGAGGCAGCAGUGGGGAAUAUUGCACAAUGGGCGGAAGCCUGAUGCAGCGACGCCGCGUGAGGGAUGACGGCCUUCGGGUUGUAAACCUCUUUCGACUCCGACGAAGCGAAAGUGACGGUAGGAGUAUAAGAAGCACCGGCCAACUACGUGCCAGCAGCCGCGGUAAUACGUAGGGUGCGAGCGUUGUCCGGAAUUACUGGGCGUAAAGAGCUUGUAGGCGGCUUGUCGCGUCGAUCGUGAAAACUCGGGGCUC